rnacentral:miRNA from 1 species
AAAAGAAAAAGAAAAAAGGAAAAGGAAAAGGAAAAAUAGAAAAAUAUCAUCCAGUUACUCCUAGUGUUGUACCUUGGCUGCUUUUCAAUGAUGUGCGCGCACGCCAAAAACACCGGACGCCCUCGGCUGGCGAGCGUGUUCAUGGUAGAUACUGCAAGGCAAUCGCCUCCUUGAUUGUUUUUUUCUUUUUGAUUUUUUUUUUUUUUUUUUUUUUU